UUCGUGACAAGCUAGUAUGACAUGGUUGGCCCGUUACCACCUAAAAAUCACAAGUUGCAUUAAUGGGUUAAAGAAAUUAUUGACAUUAAAAUGAAUUUGCGUUAACGCGUUAUCUAAAUCAAAAUGAUUAUCUUAUUCCAAAUCUAACAGUCACCAAUACUCCAGCAAUAGACUGAAAAUAAGCUGUUUUACACAGUUUGUAGCAAACAUGAGAGUCAAACUAUGGUGGGCUCCUCACAUUUUGCGUUUCCUGCUCAACAUCAGGAACUGACGUGCAUCCAACGCACACACCGCCAUGGAACAUGUGAGGCAGUCUCAAUUCAGUUUGUUGCUGCAACCCCGUAUAAACUCACAAAGUGACCCCGAUGACGAUGGGCCAACACGUCAGCGAGCAUUCACUUGAUCCCUGCGGGGGCUGCGAGUGGGAAUGAGAAGCAGAUGGGGUGCGGGGCAGUUUCAUUACAGCAAACGGAAUAAUACCGGGGUUAACCAUCCCUCUUGAACAUUUCUAUUCAGCGUCCAUGAUAAUGGGUCCCCCCUUGACUUGAUUUUUCUGUCCUAUUUGCGCUCCCCCCUCCCCCGUCCAGCUCUAUGCUCCUUUUUUCACCCUCCCUAAUGGACUUAUGCAGAGCCAAACACACAGCUCUCCCACGGAAACCUUCUUCUCUACCAUGUCAACUUUUAAGAGCUUAUACCGCAAAUAUGCUCUUUUUUUUUUGUUUGGGCAGAGUAAAAUGGGAGUUUUUAGUUACAGUAAAUGCACCGUGGAACACAAGCCGAGUAGGGCAAGGGUCAUCUCGCACCCAACCAGCAGCCUCCAAAUUAGGUCACAAUGACAACGGACGUGGGAGGGGAUUCUGCAAAACUUCACUCCAAUUGGUUCCCACAAUGUAAUCACUACAAAUGCAAUGUGAUAUAUCUGGCCUCAUGCAGGAAGCAAUAUAAGAUCAAAUGUCCUCUUAGUUUUGUUUGUUUCCACGAUUUGUUCUUAUAUUGUUAGUACCCACUGAUUUCUGGGACUGCUUGUUCUUCUCUGAGAUAAGAGAAUAUUUUACCAGUAGUCGAGAGCACGCUUACCAAGAUAAGAAAAAAAACAUCUUGUUUUCACAGUCCACAAAUUGUUUGUAUAACGCAAAGAAGUUUUAAAUUUGAGGAACAUAAAAAAAUGCAUGAAUAUCAUAUAAACAUAUAUGUUUUAGAGUAAUUAUAAUUACUAUAAACAAAUAGAAUAAUAAAUAAAUUACUUAAUUUGUGGGCUAGAGAAAUUACUAUUGAUCCAUUGAUCCCCUUUUCCUUUGGAUGAUAUUGUGUGUGUUCAGCUUCUGAAUGGCUUACAUACCGCUCUCAGAUGCUAUGAAUUUUAGAUCAAUAUCUAUCUAUCUAUCUAUUUAUCUACUUAUGUUCUUUUCUUACAGCAUUUUUGGUGGCAGCUCUCCAAUUCCUGGGCAUCUGCCAGAGUAUUUGGCACAUCCAACACCUGCUCUUAUGUAGUGUUUAUGGGGCGUUACCUAUGCUAAUAAUAAACAAUCGUCCACAUGCCUCCAAUUUAUGAUGCACACCUGAUGUAAGAGCAGAUUUUGUUGGUUAAGAACGUUUAGUGCAUCUGGAGUUGACUUCACUAAUUUUUUCUCUUAACAGAAAAUGAAGAGAAAUUGAAGUUGCUGCAUGAGGUCCGUUGUUUAGGUUAAAUACUCUUAUUGUUGUGUACAGUAUGUCCUCCACGGGAGAGAGGGACGUACAUAUUGAGUCCAAAUGAGAAUGCUUGGGAGACUUUGGAGCUCUUUAUUUAGUGUUUGUUAGCGAGCAUUUAGUGCUACUGUGCGGCCAGAUUUCCAACCUGUCAAUCUCAGUCUUCCCUGCAGUGGGUGUGGCUUGAGAAUUGUCUCCAGCCUCUCCUCAUUGGCCUCACGCUGGCAGGAGGGGUGUGUCUGUGCUGUGCCAGCGGCUGACGUGGUGCAGUGCAGAAGGCCUUUUAGUGAAGCUCUCUCUCUCUCCUUUCCCCUGCUCUUUCCUUUUUUUCUAAACUUGAAAUUUUGGAGGACGCAGUGGGAUGGGAGGAGAACUACCACACACACACACACACACACACACACACACACACACACACACACACACACACACACACACACACACACACACACACACACACACACACACACACACACACACACACACACACACACACACACACACACACACACACACACACACACACACACACACACACACACACACACACACACACGAACGACCGACAUGACACACUGAUUGUGUGCACGGGCGUGAAACUAACUUUUAACUUCGACAGUUGCAUGUAGUGGUCGUUAUGGAUCCAAUUUGUCAAACAAGCACUUUCAGGAUGUAAAAGACUGCAGUGGCAACGAGAGACGAGCCCUCUGACUGCUGGAUGAUGUACUAGUAGUAAAGUAGUUUAAUACAUGCUUACACACGCACAAACACACCGCUGGACAAACAGCUUUACACCCAUAGACUUAAAUAAUAAUCAAUGCAGCAAUGAGUCUUUAAUAAAAUACACGGCUUAUGAAAUGCCCGACUGCAGAUACUAAUAACGGGGUCCGCUGCUGCUCUUUCUCCCACACACACACAUUUAUCUCGCCGUCUCUCACUCCGAGGCUGUCUCUUGUUUCUCAUUCACACCGCUUAGACAUUCUGUCCUCUUGUGUCUUCUUUCUUUCCUUUGUCACUCUCCGGCUCUCUCAAUGUCGCCGGUUUUCUUUGCGACACCUCUGGUUCGGUUGGAUUUCUGACAUAUGAACGUCCACAGACGUACCUUAAAUUCUUUAUAUUCUACUGCAGUUUUACGUUAAGAUUUCGAUGAAGAAUAGCAGAACCCCUCUGGACCCCUCAAAGUGGGGUCCAGUGGCACUCUCUCAGGGGCUCCGCGAAAUAAUUUGGUAUAAAUUAUAAAAUUGUGCUGUAUCAUUAAAAAGUACAUAUCUACAGACGGGGACUAUUUGCACCAAUAAAACCAGCAUAUUGUGUCCAUUACUACCACCCAUGUUAGCUUUGGGCUAAUGUAAACUCUGAUAUGAUUGUGACACAUCAUGUCAAUCCGUCAUGAAUUAGUCCCUUCACUCAGGACGCAACAAACCGUUCCUGUUGCUGCUUAGCUUAGUUUAGCUUAGCUUAGCUUAGUAGCCAGCUAGCUAGCUGGCGAGCUUGGAGAAACAUUUGAGUCAGUCCACAUCGUCAGGUGACGCUAAGCCCAAACUAGCUAAACUGAGAAACUAUGACGACAGUUACAUCAAGAGACAACGACAGAAGACUAGUAUGUGUUGUGUCUUCAGGUGCCAUGAAGCCGGCCAAGCUAAAGCAACAUCGGAUUACAAAGCAACCUGAAUAUCAGGGCAAAACAAAGUGGUGUUACCUACGGGUGUGCAUUCCAAGCAAAAAUACUAUUUGAAAAUCACUGGGAAUUAGUUGAUGAUUAUUCAAAUAAUCGCCACAUGCAUACCCACCCCCCUGCAGCAGCUGCUCCGUGUGGAGAGACAGACACAGGGGGGAAAACGACAUGUCGUGUCGGCACAUUUUCCCAUCUAACGCUGUGGAUGAAGAGGGGUUUUUUCCACCAUAUUGUUGGAACAGUGAAGAGGCCGGUGGAAAGACAAACCACGACGGUUCUGCCCCACCUACAGGUGAUGAGCUCAUCUCUGUGGUUGCCUUAGUCACCUAACAACACGUCUGAGACACCGGUGGAGGCACAGCGAAGAGAGGACCUGAACCUAAAAACACAGGAACAAAAGCACAGCGUAGAUGUUGGUGAUGUCAUCGCAGAGCCCAGCUGAGCACGACAGGACGUGAUGACAGCAACCUCCGUCCUCCAACUCGCGAUGACUCACUCCAGUGUUUCACCGAGAGAAAGGACGGACAGCCAUUAUAUAGCUCUGGACUGGAUGUGGAAGUGUGAUGUGCAGUAAGGAAAUGCUGGAUGUUCCUGAUGAAUGUGACAAACUUGUUGAAAGCCACCAUAGGUCAGCUGGCACGACUCUACAAAUAACAGCCACACAUCGUAGAAUAAAGAGGUCUGAGCUCAACCAAACACCAAAA